rnacentral:rRNA from 1 species
AUUGAACGCUGGCGGCAGGCCUAACACAUGCAAGUCGAACGAGUGGCGGACGGGUGAGUAAUGUCUGGGAAACUGCCUGAUGGAGGGGGAUAACUACUGGAAACGGUAGCUAAUACCGCAUACCAUCAGAUGUGCCCAGAUGGGAUUAGCUUGUUGGUAGGGUAACGGCUCACCAGGGCUACGAUCCCUACCUGGUCUCCGAGGAUGACCAGCCACGCUGGAACUGAGACAAGGUCCAGACUCCGACGGGAGGCAGCAGUGGGGAAUAUUGGACAAUGGGCGAAAGCCUGAUGCAGCCAUGCCGCGUGUAUGAAGAAGGCCUUCGGGUUGUAAAGGACUUUCAGCGGGGAGGCGUUACCCGCAGAGGAAGCUCCGGCUAACUCCGUGCCAGCAGCCGCGGUAAUAC